CACGUAGGGCGCAAGCGUUGUCCGGAAUUAUUGGGCGUAAAGAGCUCGUAGGCGGACUGUUGCGUCCGCUGUGAAAAGCUGGGGCUUAACCCUGGCCUUGCAGUGGAUACGGGCAGACUAGAGGUAGGUAGGGGAGAAUGGAAUUCCCGGUGUAGCGGUGAAAUGCGCAGAUAUCGGGAGGAACACCGGUGGCGAAGGCGGCAUCCUGGACCGAAAUUGACGCUGAGGCGCGAAAGCCAGGGGAGCAAACGGG
rnacentral:rRNA from 1 species